CACACAUUCAGAUUCAUUCUCCUCUUCCUCUUGUAUUGGAGGGAGGAAGAGGAGAAAGGAUUUCUUCAAUAGUUAUACCAACUGAGUGACUGCGAACACUUCCGAAUAUGGGAAACGUAAAGGAAAUGCAACAAGGUUUUCGUUAACCCAUUCGUAAGGUGAAUCAUCAUUUGGCCACAUGAAUCCGUCCCUCAAGAUUUGCAGAUCACUAAUAGCUGCGGCAAGCUGCCGCAGAUUCCCAGGGAAGUUCUACACAAAUCUAAAAGCCUUCUGGAAACUACUGGGCAAACCCUCACCGUGAAUUAGUGUAAGAUUUAGUCGUAGUUACUCUUUGAAUAAAUCAGAAACCUUCUAACUUUACUUGAAUAACAUUUGCCAAGCUCCAUGUUAUGCGUAACAUUCAUUAAUCAUAGAUUCGAUUCAAAAGGAAUAUCCUGAAUUAGAGUAGAAUUGCCGUAAUAGUAAUGUUAUGAUGUACUAAAUUUAGCUCUGAAAUAGCAUUUAAGCAGUAAAUUUGGUCAAUGACUUGCGUCUAUAUUGACACGGUGGCCUCCCAGUUAGUGUGGACUUGCAACGUAUAUAUUAGCAUUAAGAUCGGUGUCUCCCAGGAAGUGUGUUGAUCCCAUAUAUGGCUUGUUGAAGGUUGGUCCAGUUGUCGAGGAAGGUAAAAAGACAAUGUUUCCUGUAUUGCAUGGAAUUGGUUCCCAUGUUUAUUUACACGUGGUGAAGGUGGGCGAGUGCGCGUUUCGUGCUAGUCCAGCAUUGUAACAACCUCAGGUAUUAUCAUUAAGUUUAGUAUUAGUUUCUUUGUAAUGAUUUCCCUCUGUUCGAGUAUACAUCUAUAAUACACUAUACAGUACACUGUGUAUACAGAUAAAAUGAAACUCCAUCACAAGGAAUACUAAAGCAUUUUCGGAUUCUGCUCAUUUCGUAUAUGUAAAGUGAAUGUCUCUAAACGUAUAAAUAUAGGCACUCAGUGUACAUACGUAUAUUGCACAUACAUAUACCCGCAUAUGUAUAU